rnacentral:lncRNA from 1 species
GGAUUCCAGGCGACGCGACCUAUCUAGAUGGAAUGAUAGGUGGUCACCAGGGGUCUGCUCCACUCGGUAGAGGUGGAGACCACCGGACUCAAGGUGACGGGACAGGGGAUCUUAGGUCCCCAGACACCCUCCUGGGCGAGGAGUCGGGGACUCUAGGAGCAGCGUCCUUACCUCCUGCCUGUUCUAUCCUCCGCUCUCCGGAGGUCAGCUGAGAUCGUGGCGCAGCAGCUAUAGCGCGAACAGCGUUUCUCCUUGCGCGUCCUCCACCAAGAUGUCGCCGAUGGAGCGGUGGCUCCGCGGUCCUACAGCAGCCGGAGACGAAGGCGCCGCCCUAGCCUGAAGCCUGCACCUCCCCGCGCGCCCGCCGGGCCCCCGCCCGCUCCUGCGCCCGCGCCUGGGGCGCUGCUGUGAACCCCCAGCUCGUUCGCCCACUCGCUACUGGGGGCCUCGCGAGGAGGCUUCAGCUCUAGAUGCAACCUGAGCAACCAACACCUAGCCGAGGACCAAAUCCUGUGUCCCGAUUCCUUCCUCUUUUCACAACGCCCGGGUUCUCAGGCCUUAGUGAUUUUUUUAUUGUUGUUGUUAAUGAUGUUGUUGAUGUUGCUAUUUUAAUACAUUUCCCUCCUCUGCCCCCUUUUUGAGACAAAUCUCAUGUUACCAAGGCUGGUCUAGAACUCAUUCCAGAGCCCAAGCUGGUCUUGAACUCCUGAUCCUUCUCCGCCAACCUCACAAGUGCUGGAAUUAGCAGGUAUGAGCCGCCUCACCUGCCCUUGCCUUUUAUAACUUACUAGAGGCCAACUUUUGUAAAAAUAAAUAAAUAAAAUAAAAUAAAGCCUAGGGCCUGCUCAAGGACCUGGUGCAAAUGUUUGGCUUGGGCUCUAAUGGACAGGGUCGCAGGGUUGUUACUGUUGCAAUCCUGCUCUACAGAUGGCUUUUGUAAAAGGAAGCAUUGAUGCAAUCGCUGCAGAAAGAUUUGAAAGGACAGGCAUCCAGGAAGGAUCAC